GCCAGGCUGGUGUAGUGGUUUGAGCACUGGACUAACACUCUGAAGACCAGGGUUCAAACCCUGCUUGGCC